GAUGAAGAACGUAGCGAAAUGCGAUACGUAGUGUGAAUUGCAGAAUUCCGCGAAUCAUCGAGUCUUUGAACGCAAGUUGCGCCCGAAGCCAUUAGGCCGAGGGCACGCCUGCCUGGGUGUCACACACCGUUACCCUCGCGCCAACGUCCAUCGUUGGCCGCGGCGCGGGGCGUGCGCUGACCUCCCGCGAGCGGGGUCUCGUGGUUGGUUGAAAAUCGAGUUCGCGGUCGAGGGUGCCGUGAUGAAAUGGUGGAUGGGCGACGCCCGAGGCCAAUCACGCGCGACUCUGUCCGGCUCGGACUCCUGGACCCCUUCGGCGUCUCCGGACGCUCUUUGGCGAGACCUCAGGUCAGGUGGGGCUACCCGCUGAGUUUAAGCAUAUCAAUAAGCGGAGGA
rnacentral:misc_RNA from 1 species